rnacentral:sRNA from 1 species
GUCGGUUUUGAUACAGACCCACGUAUGCGAGCAAUUUUAGUAAAGCAGUCUUCAGUUAAGCGUAACGCUGACUGACCUCCUUCUUGAGUGCCUCAUAGUAAUCCCUGUUGACAAACCUCGUGCCCUAUGCGGCUUAUCUACAAUAUUGAAGGAUAGACACAUGUCUAACAAAAUGACUGGUUUAGUAAAAUGGUUCAACGCUGAGAAAGGUUUCGGCUUUAUCUCUCCAGCUGACGGCAGCAAAGACGUGUUCGUACACUUCUCUGCAAUCCAGAACCAGGGUUUCAAAACUCUGGAAGAAGGCCAGAAAGUUGAGUUCUCUAUCGAGAACGGCCAGAAAGGCCCUGCAGCUGCAAACGUUACUGCGCUGUAAGUGAUGCCUGCUUCGUUGUCAGCGAAUCGGUUAAACCGGUUCUGUUAACAACGAAAUACAAAAAACCCGCCUCUGGCGGGUUUUUUGCU